UUAAAAUUAUGCGCAACUCUGCGUUUCCUUGCUGACGGUGGUUAUCAAAAAUGCAGUGGAAAUGAUUUUAACAUUGGGUUGGCGCAACCUACGAUAUCGUCAGUAAUUAAAGAGGUUCUAAAUAUAAUUGAACAACGUAUUUGUGCCCAAUGGAUUAAAAUUCAAAUGACUGAGGAGGAGCAAAACGCUUCAAAAGUUUCAUUUUUAUUCAAAAAGUGCUUUCCCGGGAGUAGUUGCUUGCAUCGACGGGACUCAUGUUCGCAUAAUUUCACCAAGAAAAGAAGUGCAACAUCUUUAUCUUAACAGAAAGGGCUACUACAGUUUAAACGUGAUGAUUCUUUGUGAUUAUAAAAUGUAUUCGGUAUGUGGAUGCUAGGCAUACAGGCGCAAAUUAUGACUCUUUUGUUUUCAAUGUUAGCGAUUUGAAAGUGCAUUUACAGAACAACAUAUAGAAUAACACUUGGAUCUUGGGCGACGCUGGCUAUCCUCUGCACAAAUUUUUAAUGACGCCUUUUCGCUUGGCGGAAGCUUCUUCACCCCAAGCACGCUACAAUACAGUACACUCAAAGGCCCGUAAUAUUGUAGAGCGGACAAUUGGUGUACUCAAGAGUAGAUUUCGAUGUCUUUUAUCUGUACGAGGUUUACAUUACACUCCUGAAAAGGCUACGCAAAUUGUAAAUGCUUGUUGCGCAUUGCACAAUAUUUGCCAACACUUUCAAGUGGAAGCUCCGGAAGAAAUACCAUCUACUUCAAAUACUACAAUGACCAAUGAUGUUUUGUACAUAGAAAGAGUAGAAGAGGAUACGGCUCGAAUAAUUCGCAAUUAUAUUAUGACUUCCCUCUAAAUAAUUAAAAUAUUAAAUUUCAUUUAUUCUUUCUAAUGUGCUAUUUAUUAAUUCAUUUAUUUAAAUGUUAUUUAAAUCAAUUCAUUAAAUAAAAAUAUCACUUCAUUUUUUAAAGUAAAUUUAAACUAUGGUACAUAGUUACAAAUAUAAAAUAUCACUUCAUUCCAGAAUAAUUAAAAACAAAAUAAAAAAAUGUUGCUUCGUGCGUUAAAUAACCAAAAAAAAUUAAAAUCUUUGCGAAGAUUUUAAUUUAGCAAUUUUGAGGCGCUGCACCUCAAUUUUAAGUGCAUGGAGUUCAUGCGCCUCGUUUGCUUUCCUUUCGUAUAUCUCCAUUUUCCUUUUUUUAAUCUAAAGAUUCUUUUUGGAGAGUAUAAGAUUUAUGUUCAGUUUUCUCCAACUAUCCAAUUUUUUUGUAAAUUUGCUAUUGCGUUUCAGCCUGGGUUGAAAGGAGUUGCAGCCUUUUGGACUCCAUGCAAUUGUUCGCCCUCCUUAACUGAACUCUCCUGGAAGGAGUCGGGCGCUGGAGUGGACAAUGGCAAACGUUCAAGGGACAUAUCGGCGACAGUAGGAGGUAUAUUCUCCACACCAAAUGCUUGCCCACUUGGUGCAACUGCUUCCCUUAAUUGAAUAAGCUGGGCCACGCUCUCUUCCACUGGGCUCAGCGACUGCUCUUGCGACGGUCCACCACCAGUCGCAAGUUAAUGGGCCUAAUCAUUGAAUCCGUUUCGAUCGAAAUAUGGUUCGAGAUGAUCGAAAAAAUUUGCGUUGAAAUCAUUGAAACCGUAUCGAAAAUAAAAUUUUCGAUCGAAGUGAACUCACUUACCGACUUGAUAAAAUGCUUUCCGCGGCACAUAGAUGUCGCUAAUUUCGAAAUCAUUGAUACCGCAAUAUCGAAAAUUUGUGUCGAAAUCAAUCCGUUGGUGAGUGCGUUGCGUUGCGGAAUUCUUACAAAAAUGGAUAAUUUGUAAAUAAGAGACAAAAACACACCAACAAAAAAAAAAUUUGAAGUAAGUGAAAUGAAGCUGCACCCCGACAUAGCGAAAGGAUUUUCGCAAAGAGCACCAGGCGAAUUGAAUCAUUUUUGGGAAGAAAUUUCAAACAAAUUAAACGCAGUAGGUCCCCCAAUCAAGGACAGAACUGGAUGGAAGAAGGUUUGGACAGAUUUCAAGUUUGCGACGAAGAAAAAAAUGGUCAAAAAUGCAAAGCAAA